rnacentral:lncRNA from 1 species
GGGGGGGGGGGAGGUGGGUACGCUGGUGGUGGUGGGGGAGGGGACUUGUACUUGUAGGGUGGUGGUGGAGGAGACUUGUACUUGUAUGGCUUCUUGGGUGGUGGAGGAGGAGAGUACACUGGUGGUGGUGGGGGAGGGGACUUGUACUUGUAGGGUGGUGGAGGAGGAGACUUGUACUUGUAGGGCUUCUUGGGUGGUGGAGGAGGAGAGUACACUGGUGGUGGUGGGGGAGGGGACUUGUACUUGUAGGGUGGUGGUGGAGGAGACUUGUACUUGUAUGGCUUCUUGGGUGGUGGAGGAGGAGAGUACACUGGUGGUGGUGGGGGAGGGGACUUGUACUUGUAGGGUGGUGGUGGAGGAGACUUGUACUUGUAUGGCUUCUUGGGUGGUGGAGGAGGAGAGUACACUGGUGGUGGUGGGGGAGGGGACUUGUACUUGUAGGGUGGUGGUGGAGGAGACUUGUACUUGUAUGGCUUCUUGGGUGGUGGAGGAGGAGAGUACACUGGUGGUGGUGGGGGAGGGGACUUGUACUUGUAGGGUGGUGGUGGAGGAGACUUGUACUUGUAUGGCUUCUUGGGUGGUGGAGGAGGAGAGUACACUGGUGGUGGUGGGGGAGGGGACUUGUACUUAUAAGGUGGUGGUGGAGGAGACUUGUACUUAUAUGGCUUCUUGUGUGGUGGUGGAGGAGAGUACACUGGAGGUGGUGGAGGAGGAGACUUGUACUUGUAUGGUUUCUUGUGGUGUGGUGGUGGUGGAGAGUGCACUGGUGGUGGGGGAGGAGAUUUGUAUUUAUAAACAGGUGGUGGAGGUGGUGGAGACUUGUACUUGUAAGGUGGUGGAGGAGGUGGAGAGUAAACUGGAGGAGGAGGGGGUGGUGAUUUGUAAUGGUAAGGUGGAGGAUGCACCGGUGGAGGUGGUGAUUUCUUGGGAGGAGGAGGAGAGUGGUAUGGGUAGUUUGCUGUGGUUUGUGAAGGGAAACUUAAAGAGACUGUGACCACUAAAAGAGUAACUAUAAGAGAGGCCAUAUUAGACCCCAUGCUUUCUAAAACCUCACUACAAAGUUGGUUUUAGUUCUGCUUC